AGAGUACUCCCUCCGUUUGGAAUUACUUGUCGCAGAAAUGGAUGUAUCUAGAUGUAUUUUAGUUCUAGAUACAUCCAUUUCCGAGACAAGUAAUUUCGAAUGGAGGGAGUAGAUA
rnacentral:pre_miRNA from 1 species